CAGUUCUCUCCCACCUCCUAGUGCAGGGGGAGUGAGCAAAUGACUGCGGUGUUUAGCUGCCUGUUGGGUUAAAUCACAACAUUGGCUCAGUUACUUUCUUCUGAACCUCACAUUGAAGAAAAUAUGUGGGAUGAAUUAAGACACUCCCUCGCUGAAGUGGCUUCAAGGACAGAACACUUUUGUGUCAUUCAUACUGAACACUGAGUGGAAAUUUAACCUACCACUUUUUUCUUUAAAUUUGUUGAAAUGCAUCCUAUACCAUGAAGUUGAGGUCCAGAAUGAUUCGAGCAGAAUAUUUUUGUAUAAAUCAAAUUACUUCAAUAGACAGCACACUGAAAUGAAAAUAGAAAAAUACACUUUUUAAAGGCCAGAGGGCUGUGAAAACUAUUAGCUCUUUUUUGAAGGUGACUUUCAAUAAAAGAACCAUGUCAUAAGCAACAGGAGAGAUCCUGCCAUUUGUUGUAAUUUUGCUAUAGUCCAUUUCCAUUGACAACUCAGUAAUAUAAAAUUCAUUAUAAACCUACUAUAAUGUACAAGCUAAAUCACAGAAAUAUUUAAACAUCACAGAAAAGAACCACCUGUAUUAAUUAAAAUAGGAAAAUCAGAUAGGGACAGAAUAUGUAUACAGAAAACACAGAACAGUGGUCAUUGAUUUUAGUGAUCAAAGGAAAAAUCGAUAGAUUAAUGCAUUUUAUUCUCAGAGAUAAAAAACAUUUUGUGAGUCUUCCAUUUAAUAAUAGUGCUCUAAAAUCCAAGGGCCACCAAUAUAAAUGACCUUUUCUUUCCAAAGAAAUGAUUAAAAAUGGGUCUGUGGAUUGUAAAGAUCAUCCAUCUGAACUUCAUUUCAUCUGCUAUCAUGCUGUCGUGUCAUAUCCUACACAUGGUAGGAAAAAAAAAAAAAAAACAUGAAAAAAAAAUUCUUUUUAUGGUAGAAAAAAAAAAAAAAAACCAUGAAAAAAAUCAAAAACGUUUAGUUCUGCCUGUGUUCUGCCUUGCAUGUGCAGAGUUAGGAUGACAUAUUCCUGAGGACUGUGGGCUAUUUUAUAUGAGCUAAGUGAAGAAGUCUUCUAGAUAUAGCAUAGUAUUGCCAUCAUCUUGUCUGAAUCAGGAAAGUGAUACUUUCAUCCAUAUAUCCUGUUUUUCUAGCCCUAUUUCCUUUCAUAAGCCUGUAAUUCAUAUAAAUAAGGAGAUGAAAAGGACAAUGUUAUUUUUAAAUGAUGCUAAAUAUAUUC